rnacentral:rRNA from 1 species
UACAGAGGUGGCAAGCGUUGUUCGGAAUUACUGGGCGUAAAGGGCGCGUAGGCGGUCUUGCAAGUCCUGUGUGAAAUCCCUCGGCUCAACUGAGGAACUGCACAGGAAACUGCUUGGCUUGAGUUCGGGAGAGGGAAGCGGAAUUCCGGGUGUAGCGGUGAAAUGCGUAGAUAUCCGGAGGAACACCGGUGGCGAAGGCGGCAUCCUGGACCGAUACUGACGCUGAGGAGCGAAAGCCAGGGGAGCAAACGGG